rnacentral:misc_RNA from 1 species
AGUUAAUCUCAUCACGUCAUGGACACUUGGGGAAUAAUUAAAGAUGCGAGUUCAUCAACACAUGCUUGCAGUUUGAUUUUGUACACAAUGCCCUCGUGGGACCAACAAGCAUCCUUAGUUUUAAAUUCUUGAUAUUGUAAGGAUGAUUGAUUCAUAUUGUCUGGUCGGAACGGAGUCAUGAACAUUUAAUACUCUUUCCACACAUUUCA